CUUUAUAGAGGAAGCGAAAACGUGAAAAGAAAACCCCCCCAGGGGCUGUGCAGUGUCGUGUCGUGGCGACGAGGGGGCCACUACCGGACGCCGCCGCCGCCGCUCAGGCUCCGGCUCGCCGCCCGCCGCGACGACGCGCUCUAUUGCCUCCUCCCGCCGAAGCGGAAGCAGCGGAGCCGCCUCUUCCGCCGCCGCCCCCUGGACGCCCGCCGCCUCCGCCGCGCCCUCUACCGCACCCUCGUCGAGGUGAGCCCCGGGACCUCGCUCCAGCCGUCGCGCACCUCCCUGCGGAUGCGCGAGCGGACGGAGGUGCAGCGCGCCGAGGCGGCCCGGCGGCGGCUGGCGGCGCGUCGCGAGGCCCGCGAGCUGUACCCCGAGUAGUACCCCCCUUUGGAGGAGGCGCGGCUAGAGCUCCGGCGGGACCGGAGGUAGCGGCGCCUCGGCUCGCUGCCGCUUCCACUGCCGCGCCUCCGACAGCUACUCCUUCGGUUAUCCACCUCCCUUCCCGAGCUGUCCUUGGCACUGUAGCGGCUACGGGAGUUUUAAGAAGGUUGUUUCAGAAAUAGAACAUUUCUUUAGCGUUCUGCCAGCACAUAUAGAAACCUCCUCAAAUAUACACUAGUGAAAAAUGGACUCUGGGGACAAUAUUAGUCACCGACGUAGCUAGUAACCGGACGUUACUGUUUUACCUUCUUGUAGGUCAUGGAUUUCUUCUAACGACCCCUAGCCUGACAAGGACAACUCCAACCCUUCUCGAUACAAACGUCACUCACCUUCGUCCUCGAAUAGUGCAAGAGGGUCAAGGAACUCUCCUACACCAGUUGGCGGACAGGAAGUUUAAACUGUAUAGAUCGAGUCGUAGGUAAUAAACUCGUCUAUUUUCUCGAAGUACUUCUGUAUUACCAAGGACUGAUGACAAUACGACCACCUCCCCUUGAGGUUAGUGAAUUACGAACCAAACCAGGUGUGCCCUGUCACUGUGGUAACGUGGUGCUGGGCGUAGUGUUGUAAAAUCGAGUCCAGAACCCGUCCUUCAUAUAAUCUGAGAUAGGACCAAGACAUAGGCUUCUGAAUAUGGGUGUGUGUCUUUGAUACAACUCGUUAUGAUCAGUCCACCUAGAACUGUUGCAUCUAUACUUACUCAAGGGUUUCCAUCUUUUGGAACUAAAGUACCUGACGUAUAACCUCCUUCCACUGUACGACAUAUAAGGAGGGUUUACCACCGUAAUGCAGUCUAGAGAUAGCUAAUCAAAGAGGUAAUCGAAAACCACCGCAUGUUGUCAAUAUUCAGGCUCGCGCAUUACUUUUGUAAAACCAGAAGCUAUGUAGUCCUGGUCUAGAGUCCUGAGUCCCUGAACCAUUCGGACUGACCUGUGUAACAAAGUUGUAAGACAGCGAGUGACAACGCACCUACAUCAGCAAACAUGGAUGAUAGCGUCUACAUGUACCAAUGAAAAUGAUAUUAAUAAAACCUGUAAACUAACGACAAUAGCGUCUACUGGUAACAAUGAAUAUGAUAUUAAUAAAACCAGUAAAUUAACGACGAUUUGCGGAUUUGGAAAUAUAAUACAACGGGAGACUACGAACUCGAACUAAAAAAAAGUACUCUGAACUCGAACUCUAACUUUCCGACUACGUAAAAUGCUCCAAGACAUUGGGUACUCACAGUAAAGAAACCCCCUCUUUCGACGUUGACACUACAGGGUUUAUGAGGUUACCACUUCUAAAAUAACGUGAAGCCAGAGAGAGGCAAUACAAGUACGUAAGACCUAGGACUUUUCAACCUUCUAAACGGUGGAAGAUAAGACAAUUUUGGACACAACUAUAUAGAAAAAGACAAUCUGACACUUGAGACAGAGGAGGGU
rnacentral:rRNA from 1 species